UAUUUAUUGUUCCACAUGUUUAUCUCAUUCCUUUAAAAAUAUAUCAAACGAAAUAUUAAGAAUCAUUCACAUAUUACUGUAAAACCAAAGUAUUCAAUUGUUCUGACUAUAAGUUAACCAAAGCAAUAUGUGAUUCCUAUCACAUGCUAUCGAUUACGAAGAAAAAGUUUCAUUCAGUCUUGCGCUUGCGUCCCUUGAAUCAUUUUUUUCAGAGUUGUUCUCUGAUACAUCGACGACUUCAGUUAGUGCUAUGCGCCACAAGUGUCAGCAUGCGAUCUACAAGUGAUAUUGACGAUCUUUCACUAAAUGAUCAUUAUGAAAGCGAUAUACAUUAUACAUUUCAAUUCUGCCAUUGGAUUUUAAAACCAUUAGGCAUCCAUUAUUUCAUCUACAGCCAAGCGAACAAAUUCGAAAGAAUUUUGUCCGUGGUUCUAAUCCUGAUCUGCUUUUUCAUAAUACAAUUCGUCAUCGUGCCGUUCGGUUAUUAUAUUCUAUUUUAUGAGAAGGAUAUGAAUAUGAAGAUCAAAUUUUUAGGACCGUUAACAUUUUGUUUAAGUGCGUUAUUCAAAUAUGGUUAUCUUGGCAUAAGGAGUUCAGAGCUUGGUCAUUGCAUAAAACAUGUGGAAAAAGAUUGGAAGAUGUUGCAAAAUGAGGAUCAUCGUGUCAUCAUGUCACGAUAUGUAAUCAUGGGCAGAAAUUUAAUCACAUUAUGCGCAGCUUUUAUGUACACUGGUGGUUUAUUUUAUCACACCAUUAUGCCAUUACUUUCGAAGAGAAAAGUUGAGAAUUUUACAAUUAGACCACUUACCUAUCCUGGUUAUGAGGCAUUUUUCAACAUUCAAAAGAGUCCCACAUAUGAAAUUAUAUAUUGUAUGCACUGUAUUUAUGUUAUCGUCGUAGGUAAUAUCACGAUGGCCGCAUACAGUUUAACGGCAAUAUUCAUCACUCAUGCCUGCGGACAGAUUAAGAUACAAACGUUACGAUUGGAGAAUUUAAAAAACGAAAAGAAAGUGUUAGAAACAGGUAUCGAGAGUCAUCUGGCGGUUAUUAUCAGCAAUCAUGUGGAAAUUUUAAGAUUUGCAAAAAACGUUGAAACAACAUUACGUGAAUUAUUUUUAGUAGAAGUGAUAGUGUCAACUUUAUUAAUGUGUUUGCUUGAAUAUUACUGCAUGGUGGAAUGGGAGACCAGCGAUUCAGCUGCAAUAUUAACAUACGUCGUUCUCUUAUUUUCUUUUACUUUCAACAUAUUAAUAUUUUGUUACGUAGGAGAACUUCUUCUUGAGCAGAGAGGAUUAUUUAGUCAUUGGCAUAAUAGACAUGAAUGUGAUAGCAGGGUAAUGAAAUCGCGACUGCUUUGUAUGAAAUAGAAUGGUACAACUUACCUGGAAGAAAAGCUCGUGAUAUUAUUUUAUUGCUCGUUAUAUCGAAAUACCCGCCCAAACUUACUGCUGGCAAAAUAUUUAUUCUAUCGAUGAAUACUUUUAGCGUUGUUUUAAAAUCAUCAUUAGUUUAUUUGAACAUGUUGCGAACGAUCACUGAACUGUGAUCAUUAUUUCCAAAAUGUUAAAAAUGAAAUAUUGUAUCUUGAUAUAAUUCAAUAUUCUGGACUUGAUCUGAAAAUUGUUGAAACAAUUAUAAUUAU